ensembl:snRNA
CUAUUCACAAAGAGAAGGUUACCACUACCCUUGUGAAGGUUUGAAUUGGUCCUUGUGGCAACACAUAAACAGUUAAGGCAAUGCCAUCUAAUUUGUGGUAGCUCUAACCAUACUUUUUU